rnacentral:rRNA from 1 species
GGUCGGCAACGACCACCCAGAGCCGGAAAGUUAUCCAAACUUGGUCAUUUAG